ACCCUGCCCCUGAAGCAGACCCUAGAGAAGAUUAGAAGUCGAUUCACCGGGGAGGCGACCCAUAGCAGGGACCCGGUAGACCCUGGAGUGGGCAGGGUCUGUUGGUGAAAGAGGAAGGAGAAAAACGGUUAAUUGGAAAAGCUUGGAUUUUGAGAAUUCAAGAUCAUGGAAAACUGCCAGAAGGAAAUGGGUCUUCUCCUCUCCCAAAUGGUCCCAUAACUAGUCUGGCCACCUUGAGCCAUCCAAGAGGAGAAUGUGGUCAGGGACCGUGACUCAGCUUAAGAAGCUACAUUUAUAUCUAUAUCUACACACAUGUUCUACCGACUAUGACCACACCACCAUGGCCCAUGCCCAUACACCCACGUGUGAACCAAGAGGCAGGUAAUGUGCCGAUGACGACGUCUACAAGGUUUGAGGGAGGCACCUCUCAAAACCGAAUCAUCAUGCUUGCAAACUACAAAAGACUCUUUCUUGGUACUUUUCUUGUUUGAAAGUACCUACAUUUUGGGGCUCAAGACUCAGAAAGUCAGAGUGGAGAGUUGGGUGCCAUGCUCCAUUCUGCUUUUCCUGAAGUGCCUCAAAUGCUAGGCAGAGUCCCUGCACUCUCCGUGAUAGGAAUCUCCUCUGUGGCCAAAAUUGGGCCUCCGUUUUUUUCACCGCAGGAAUAUACAUGUCCUCAUGGCCGUCUCCUGCCUGGGCAGCAGCGAAGCCUCCCCAGACUGCUCUGCCCUGUGGAAGAAAAGGCCUAGGUCCUGCUGUUUUCCCAGUCUCCUUUCCUGGGAGGUGGCCAUGACUCGCUCCCAUUAACCUGGGCAGAGGCUGUUUCCCAUCUCUUCCUGCAUGAGUUACUUCAUGGAGCCUCGGAGGAGGAGCCCUGGACUCUGCUCGCCUGGGAUUCCUGCUGUUCUACCCACUGUCCACCCAGAAGCUCCCUUCCCCGGGUCUGACAUGACUUUCUCUUCUGAGCCAGGCCCAGCAGGAAGGAUGCGUUUGUGUUCGGCCCUGCAUUCCUGCAGUGUCCCUCGGGUGUGUGGCUGGAAAUGAUUUGUGUAAGGCACUCAGCCAGCCUCCCUUUUAAUCACUCCCAUACUCACAGACAGAGGGAAUCCCAGCCCCUCACCCAGGAGAGGGAAGGAACCUCCUUCAUUUUGACAGGGCCUCCCUCCGUGGUGGGGUAAGCAGUGAUUCUGGUCUCCAGGAAAGAUGCUUCCAAGAGCCUCUUUCUCUGAGGCCUAAUUAUGAAAUCGAUAUCUUCAGGAACCCCUCCUCCUUCCCUGGAGCUUCUGCAGGCAGACACUGCCCAGAUAAUGUUCAAACAUGCAUUGACCCGGCAGGGCUUCCUGAGCACCACUCUGGCUGGGGAGGAGGAUGGGAUCAGCUGGGCCUGGAAGAAUGGGCAGGGUUUGCUUAGGACGUUUCGGGGAGGCAGAUGGUGUAAGCUGGGGAUGGGGUGAGGAAGGGAGAGAGUUAGGGGCAGCUUGAGGGAAAUAGGGGUGUUUGUUGGGGAAGAGUGAGUGAUGACUGGUCAGAGUCCCAACAGCAAACAGAGGACACAAUUAAAAUGGGAUAGUUCCAGGAUAGUUUAUUUGCAUAGGUGUGAUCACAGGGAAACCACAAAGAAUAGUGCAGUUAACUGGUCUUAGUAAGAGCCAAGGUGUUAUCACCUCUAGGCACAAAGAGACAAAGACCAGAACAGAGAGUCCUGCAGAGCAACUUGACUUGGAAGGAACAGAAGACUUCAGUCCAGGGGCACAGUAAGCUGGAGGCAACCUUGCAGGGAGAGACCCAGGCAGAGCUGGAUUUGUAGUGACGCUGGCGAAGUUUAAGCUUCAGGAUCCCACGCUUGCACAGAUUGGGUUCCCUGGAGGCUGACCAUGAAAUGGAAAGUUGUGGGCCGGAGGCUUACCGUGGAGUGCUCUCAGGAGACAUAUGUGUGAGGAAAUGAGGAUGGCAGGAUUGGGAGAAGCUGAUCAGAAAUAUGGCCUCAGCCAAUCUGAUAUCCCCAGCAGCUGAAGGAUGGCUGUGUUGGCCUGAAGAGGGGAUCUGUGCGGUGGCCACAGCUCCCUCCACAGAUGAUAACGUAGGUCUCAUGAUACAUCACUACAAUGGGGACACCAAAGACAAACUGACUUCUCAUGUACAUCACUGCAAUGGGGACACCAAAGACAAAUGGACUUCUCAUGAUACAUCACUACAAUGGGGACACCAAAGACAAACUGACUUAUAAGUGUCAU
rnacentral:lncRNA from 1 species